rnacentral:pre_miRNA from 1 species
AAAGUACUCCCUCCGUCCCAAAAUUCUUCUCUUAGAUUUGUCUAGAUACGGAUGUAUCAAGUCACAUUUUAGUAUUAGAUACAUCCGUAUCUAGACAAAUCUAAGACAAGAAAUUUGAGACAGAGGGAGUAGUUG